AAACACAAACAAAACAAAACCCUAGAAAAUAAACUGAAUAAAAAAGUUCAUUAAUUUGUGCAGCAUUCCGAGUAAUGUUCACUGAGCAGGUCUGGUUAAAUAAUGUUUUGUUUCUCCUUAAUUGUCUUGGCUAUCAGAUGCAUAGCCUUAAAAAAAUCGCAGAAUUUGGAACAGUUUAUAUUCAGUCAACAUCCCAGAAAUGUGACAGCAAUAUUUAAAAAUAAACUGGUCUGCUGAAAGUUUGCAGAGAUCACAUUCUUCAAAAUUGCUAAUCUAUUGUCCAAAACUGCACAUUUGUAGGGCUUCUCUGACUUCGUAAAAAACCUUGACUUUGUAAAAAGAAAGGAAAAAAAAAUCAACCAUUUUAAGUUGAAUAGCUUUACAAUUUCAAGCUAAUAUAUGCAUCUGUAAAUUUGCUUGUGGCUCAAAAAAAGUGUUUGAUGAUGUGAUGAAUGAUUGAUGAAGCGUAAUGUUCCAACAGUUUUGUAUUUUAUUAAGGUUCCCCUCGGGAAACUCCUUGAAGGCUGGAAGUGAAGGCUGCAGGAAUUUGAAGAAGACAUAACUACCACUGCAGACAUCUCAAUCAUCUUAGACACGGUAACUGAUGCCGUCGACUGAGUUUGAAGGUCUUACCCAGGACGUCAACUGUGGAGCACACAUUGGAUGCUGAGAACACUGUAUUACCAUGGCAACGCCAAACCAGGAUCCUCCAGUUGGAAAACUUGGUGUAUGUGAUGCACAAGACAUGUAUACAUCCUUUUUGUGAAAUUGUGCAUCUUGCAUUGAUAUUAUGCAUAUCAAAUCUUGUAACUAAACAUGGCUUAGAAGUUUGAAAGUUAUCAAAUAUUGAAAGCUUUUCCUUGGAAUGAUUUCACCGUGAUUACAAAUCCUUGUCUUGUUGGAAAUCAAAAAAGUAAACCAUUUUUUCGACUAUUCAUCACAAUCAUGAAAGUUUGUCUACCUAAAUCCGAUUCUCAGUAACAAUUCCCCUUUUUUCAAUACUCUGCAGUAUUUGUGAUUGCAGAAAACAACAAAUUUUCACAUUGUUCUUGGUCAGCAUGCUCAUCUCUAAGGUUAAAAAUGAUCCUCUUUGUAAAAAGUGUGUAUGCAUUCUAACUCCAGUUUCUAAAUAUUUUGCAGUUGCUUCAAUGCUAUGAAGUUUUUUAUUAAAUUAUUAAAUGCAUUUUUACCAAUUUUGUGGACGCCAUAUUUCCUUUGAACACCACAUAUGACAAAAGAUAUUUUCGGAAUGUGUUCUUAGGGCCCUCGGGCAUCUUCCUAGCAGUUUUCAAGCAAUUCGAUUUUUUUGCCAAAACUGACAAAAAAUGCAAGGGGUUAGCCUUACUUUUUAUCAAAUUUGGGUCAAAAAUUGACUUUUCUGGAAACAACCUAGAAACACUUUAGGAGGCAUGGAUAGCAUAUUUUCAUUAUUGUGAAGUGAUAAUUUUGAAAGUUUGGCAAAUAUAAGGGAUUUUUGACAUAAUAUUAAAAAAACAAAUUAAUUUUUACCAAUUUUGUGUACGCCAUGGAGUUUUUAUUAAAGCUGAAAUAAAUGAGUUUGAACUGAAGCUGAA
rnacentral:lncRNA from 1 species